CACUUAUCAAGAAAGGCUGAGGGACUGGCCCGAUGAAGCCUUGACAACCUGUUCCGUGCCGCAACACAGCGGUAUGGGGAAAGGUGCCAAUUCCAUCACGCUACAGGCGUGACAGAUAAGUC
rnacentral:ncRNA from 2 species